rnacentral:rRNA from 1 species
UACGUAGGGGGCUAGCGUUGUCCGGAAUCAUUGGGCGUAAAGCGCGUGUAGGCGGCCCGGUAAGUCCGCUGUGAAAGUCGGGGGCUCAACCCUCGAAAGCCGGUGGAUACUGUCGGGCUCGAGUGCGGAAGAGGCGAGUGGAAUUCCUGGUGUAGCGGUGAAAUGCGCAGAUAUCAGGAGGAACACCGGUGGCGAAGGCGACAUCCUGGACCGGUAUUGACGCUGAGGCGCGAAAGCCAGGGGAGCAAACGGG